AGUGAACGCUGGCGGUCUGCUUAACACAUGCAAGUCGAACGAACUCUUCGGAGUGAGUGGCGGACGGGUGAGUAAUGCUUGGAAAUCUGCCUGGUAGUGGGGGACAACAGUUGGAAACGACUGCUAAUACCGCAUAACCUCUUCGGAGCAAAGUGGGGGACCCUCGGGCCUCACGCUACCAGAUGAGUCCAAGUGGGAUUAGCUAGUUGGUGAGGUAAAGGCUCACCAAGGCGACGAUCCCUAG
rnacentral:rRNA from 1 species